rnacentral:rRNA from 1 species
AACGAACGCUGGCGGCAUGCCUAACACAUGCAAGUCGAACGAAGUCUUCGGACUUAGUGGCGCACGGGUGCGUAACGCGUGGGAAUCUGCCCUUAGGUACGGAAUAACUCAGAGAAAUUUGUGCUAAUACCGUAUAAUGUCUUCGGACCAAAGAUUUAUCGCCCAAGGAUGAGCCCGCGUAAGAUUAGCUAGUUGGUGGGGUAAAGGCCCACCAAGGCGACGAUCUUUAGCUGGUCUGAGAGGAUGAUCAGCCACACUGGGACUGAGACACGGCCCAGACUCCUACGGGAGGCAUCAGUGGGGAAUAUUGGACAAUGGGCGAAAGCCUGAUCCAGCAAUGCCGCGUGAGUGAUGAAGGCCCUAGGGUUGUAAAGCUCUUUUACCCGGGAUGAUAAUGACAGUACCGGGAGAAUAAGCUCCGGCUAACUCCGUGCCAGCCGCCGCAGUAACAC